rnacentral:rRNA from 1 species
AUUGAACGCUGGCGGCAUGCUUUACACAUGCAAGUCGAACGGUAACAGGCCUUCGGGUGCUGACGAGUGGCGAACGGGUGAGUAAUGCAUCGGAACGUGCCCAGAGCUGGGGGAUAACGCAGCGAAAGCUGUGCUAAUACCGCAUGUGAUCUGAGGAUGAAAGCGGGGGACCAGGCAGCAAUGUUUGGCCUCGCGCCUUUGGAGCGGCCGAUGUCAGAUUAGGUAGUUGGUGGGGUAAAGGCCUACCAAGCCGACGAUCUGUAGCUGGUCUGAGAGGACGACCAGCCACACUGGAACUGAGACACGGCCCAGACUCCUACGGGAGGCAGCAGUGGGGAAUUUUGGACAAUGGGCGCAAGCCUGAUCCAGCAAUGCCGCGUGCGGGAAGAAGGCCUUCGGGUUGUAAACCGCUUUUGUACGGAACGAAAAGGCUCUGGCUAAUACCUGGGGCUGAUGACGGUACCGUAAGAAUAAGCACCGGCUAACUACGUG